CAAGCGCCAGAACACAUUUACUUGUGUUGACGAGGUCUAAAGUUAUCGAAUAUUCGGCGGAUGCUUUAGUGGCUCUAGCUUAAAGUCAAUAGUAUUAAUCAAAAAUCAAUAGUGAUAUUGUAACAAAUAUUAAU
rnacentral:ncRNA from 1 species